rnacentral:rRNA from 1 species
GACGAACGCUGGCGGCGUGCUUAACACAUGCAAGUCGAACGGAAAGGCCCUGCUUUUGUGGGGUGCUCGAGUGGCGAACGGGUGAGUAACACGUGAGUAACCUGCCCUUGACUUUGGGAUAACUUCAGGAAACUGGGGUUAAUACCGGAUAGGAGCUCCUGCUGCAUGGUGGGGGUUGGAAAGUUUCGGCGGUUGGGGAUGGACUCGCGGCUUAUCAGCUUGUUGGUGGGGUAGUGGCUUACCAAGGCUUUGACGGGUAGCCGGCCUGAGAGGGUGACCGGCCACAUUGGGACUGAGAUACGGCCCAGACUCCUACGGGAGGCAGCAGUGGGGAAUAUUGCAUAAUGGGCGGAAGCCUGAUGCAGCAACGCCGCGUGCGGGAUGACGGCCUUCGGGUUGUAAACCGCUUUCGCCUGUGACGAAGCGUGAGUGACGGUAAUGGGUAAAGAAGCACCGGCUAACUACGUG